GUAAACACUGCCUAUUCGCUGAAAAUGUAGUGUAUAUUGUGCUAAUAUUGCAGGGACAGAGUAUAGGCACCAGAACCACUACAUUAAGCUGUAAUAGUUCUGGUGAGUAUCCCUUCAACUCCUCUUAAAAAGUAAACACAUCUUGUACCCCAAUACUAAAUUUACCCCAUCCCUAAUCCUAAACUCAAUGAUCCUAAACAGCCUUUAGGCCACAACUUUAACC